UACAGAGGGGGCAAGCGUUAAUCGGAUUUACUGGGCGUAAAGCGAGCGUAGUCGGUUAUUUAAGUCGGGUGUGAAAGCCCCGGGCUCAACCUGGGAAUUGCAUUCGAUACUGGAUAGCUAGAGUUCGGCAGAGGGAAGCGGAAUUUCCGGUGUAGCGGUGAAAUGCGUAGAUAUCGGAAGGAACAUCAGUGGCGAAGGCGGCUUCCUGGACCAGAACUGACGAUCAGGCUCGAAAGCGUGGGGAGCAAACAGG
rnacentral:rRNA from 1 species